rnacentral:rRNA from 1 species
GAUGAACGCUGGCGGCGUGCCUAAUACAUGCAAGUCGAGCGAACGGACGAGAAGCUUGCUUUUCUGAUGUUAGCGGCGGACGGGUGAGUAACACGUGGAUAACCUACCUAUAAGACUGGGAUAACUUCGGGAAACCGGAGCUAAUACCGGAUAAUAUUUUGAACCGCAUGGUUCAAAAGUGAAAGACGGUCUUGCUGUCACUUAUAGAUGGAUCCGCGCUGCAUUAGCUAGUUGGUAAGGUAACGGCUUACCAAGGCAACGUUGCAUAGCCGACCUGAGAGGGGGAUCGGCCACAUUGGAACUGAGAAACGGUCCAGACUCCUACGGGAGGCAGCAGUAGGGAAUCUUCCGCAAUGAGCGAAGGCCUGACGGGGCAACGCCGCGUAAUGGAUGAAGGUCUUCGAAUCGUAAACCUCUGUUGUUAGGGAAGAACAUAUGUGUAAGUAACUGUGCACAUCUUGACGGUACCUAAUCAGAAAGCCACGGCUAACUACGUG